AGGCUUUGAUCCUGGCUCAGGACGAACGCUGGCGGCGUGCUUAACACAUGCAAGUCGAACGAUGAACACUGGAGCUUGCUCCGGUGGAAUUAGUGGCGAACGGGUGAGUAACACGUGAGCAAUCUGCCCUUGACUCUGGGAUAAGCGUUGGAAACGACGUCUAAUACCGGAUACGACCUCUCUUGGCAUCAAGCGGAGGUGGAAAGAUUUAUCGGUCAAGGAUGAGCUCGCGGCCUAUCAGCUAGUUGGUGAGGUAACGGCUCACCAAGGCGACGACGGGUAGCCGGCCUGAGAGGGUGACCGGCCACACUGGGACUGAGACACGGCCCAGACUCCUACGGGAGGCAGCAGUGGGGAAUAUUGCACAAUGGGCGCAAGCCUGAUGCAGCAACGCCGCGUGAGGGACGAAGGCCUUCGGGUUGUAAACCUCUUUUAGCAGGGAAGAAGCGCAAGUGACGGUACCUGCAGAAAAAGCACCGGUGAAAAAUCUGAG
rnacentral:rRNA from 1 species